GCAUUUCGUCACGUACCCUGCAGCAUCACCUACAAGAGCCACACGUUUGGAGAGCCUGCGAGGUCUCGGGUGUUCCGGGAUCGGGUGAGCCUCGACGCGGAUGAUCUUGCCUCCAAGAAUCUUGUCUUUGGCUCUGUUACGAGUAGCAAGCUGGAACUUCUUGAUGUCACCUUUGUGAGUAACAGUGCCUGUUCCAACAGCUACAUGGUCGCAUUUCGGGAAAACCCAGCCGUAGAAAUCCGGCGACACGUCAUCUCCGACGUACA
rnacentral:lncRNA from 1 species